rnacentral:rRNA from 1 species
GACGUAGGGCGCGAGCGUUGUCCGGAUUUAUUGGGCGUAAAGAGCUCGUAGGCGGCUUGUCGCGUCGACUGUGAAAUCCCGCGGCUCAACUGCGGGUCUGCAGUCGAUACGGGCAGGCUAGAGUUCGGUAGGGGAGACUGGAAUUCCUGGUGUAGCGGUGAAAUGCGCAGAUAUCAGGAGGAACACCGGUGGCGAAAGCGGCUCACUGGAUCUCUUCUGACGCUGAGGCACGAAAGCUAGGGUAGCGAACGGG